CAUGUCUAGGUAUAGCAAUUAUACAGCGAAACUGCGAAUGGCUCAUUAAAUCAGUUAUCGUUUAUUUGAUAGUACCUUACUACAUGGAUAACCGUGGUAAUUCUAGAGCUAAUACAUGCUUAAAAUCCCGACUUCGGAAGGGAUGUAUUUAUUAGAUUAAAAACCAAUGCCCUUCGGGGCUCACUGGUGAUUCAUAAUAACUUCUCGAAUCGCACGGCCUUGCGCCGGCGAUGGUUCAUUCAAAUUUCUGCCCUAUCAACUUUCGACGGCUGGGUCUUGGCCAGCCGUGGUGACAACGGGUAACGGAGGAUUAGAGUUCGAUCCCGGAGAAGGAGCCUGAGAAACGGCUACUACAUCCAAGGAAGGCAGCAGGCGCGCAAAUUACCCAAUCCCGACUCGGGGAGGUAGUGACAAUAAAUACUGAUACAGGGCUCUUUUGGGUCUUGUAAUUGGAAUGAGUACAAUUUAAAUCCCUUAACGAGGAAAAAAUGGAGGGCAAGUCUGGUGCCAGCAGCCGCGGUAAUUCCAGCUCCAAUAGCGUAUAUUAAAGUUGUUGAGGGUAAAAAGCUCGUAGUUGAACCUUGGGGCCCGCCGGGCGGUCCGCCUCACCGCGUGCACUGGCUCGGCCGGGGCUUUCCUUCUGGAGAAACCGGUGCCCUUUAUUGGGUGUCGUGGGGGAACAAGGACUUUUACUCUG
rnacentral:rRNA from 1 species